GGCCACGUAGAAAAGUGGUAAUUCGAGAGUCUGCAAAACUCUUAUGCGGGAGUUCGAUUCUCCCCGUGGCCU
rnacentral:tRNA from 1 species